rnacentral:rRNA from 2 species
UCGGAUUAGCUAGUUGGCGGGGUAAAGGCCCACCAAGGCGACGAUCCGUAGCUGGUCUGAGAGGAUGAUCAGCCACACUGGAACUGAGACACGGUCCAGACUCCUACGGGAGGCAGCAGUGGGGAAUAUUGGACAAUGGGCGCAAGCCUGAUCCAGCCAUACCGCGUGGGUGAAGAAGGCCUUCGGGUUGUAAAGCCCUUUUGUUGGGAAAGAAAAGCAGCGGGCUAAUACCCAGCUGUUCUGACGGUACCCAAAGAAUAAGCACCGGCUAACUUCGUGCCAGCAGCCGCGGUAAUACGAAGGGUGCAAGCGUUACUCGGAAUUACUGGGCGUAAAGCGUGCGUAGGUGGUUGUUUAAGUCUGUUGUGAAAGCCCUGGGCUCAACCUGGGAACUGCAGUGGAAACUGGAUGACUA